GAUGAACGCUGGCGGCGUGCUUAACACAUGCAAGUCGAACGGAAAGGCCCUGCUUUUGUGGGGUGCUCGAGUGGCGAACGGGUGAGUAACACGUGAGUAACCUGCCCUUGACUUUGGGAUAACUUCAGGAAACUGGGGCUAAUACCGGAUAGGAGCUCCUGCUGCAUGGUGGGGGUUGGAAAGUUUCGGCGGUUGGGGAUGGACUCGCGGCUUAUCAGCUUGUUGGUGGGGUAGUGGCUUACCAAGGCUUUGACGGGUAGCCGGCCUGAGAGGGUGACCGGCCACAUUGGGACUGAGGUAGGGCCCAGACGGCUACGGGAGGCAGCGGUGGGGAACAUUGCACAAUAGGCGGAAGCCUGAUGCAGCAACGUCGCGUGCGGAAUGACGGCCUUCGGGUUAUAAACAGCUUUCGCCUGAGACGAAGCGUGAGUGACGGUAACGGGUAAAAAAGCACCGGCUAACUACGUG
rnacentral:rRNA from 1 species